AGAGUUUGAUCAUGGCUCAGGAUGAACGCUAGCUACAGGCUUAACACAUGCAAGUCGAGGGGCAGCAUUGGAGUAGCAAUACUCAGACGGCGACCGGCGCACGGGUGAGUAACACGUAUCCAACCUGCCGCUUACUCGGGGAUAGCCUUUCGAAAGAAAGAUUAAUACCCGAUGGUAUAAAGAGUUCGCAUGUUCUCUUUAUUAAAGAAUUUCGGUAAGCGAUGGGGAUGCGUUCCAUUAGAUAGUUGGCGGGGUAACGGCCCACCAAGUCUACGAUGGAUAGGGGUUCUGAGAGGAAGGUCCCCCACAUUGGAACUGAGACACGGUCCAAACUCCUACGGGAGGCAGCAGUGAGGAAUAUUGGUCAAUGGACGAGAGUCUGAACCAGCCAAGUAAGCGUGAGGGAUGACUGCCCUAUGGGUUGUAAACUUCUUUUAUAAGGGAAUAAAGUGAGGGACGUGUCCCUUUUUGUAUGUACCUUAUGAAUAAGGAUCGGCUAACUCCGUGCCAGCCGCAGC
rnacentral:rRNA from 1 species